rfam:Rhodopirellula baltica SH 1 complete genome
UCCAUGGGGGAGCCGUUGGUGGCUCGGACUGACUGUUAAUCAGUUUGCCGCUGGUUCGAUUCCAGCCUAUGGAG